AUACGGAGGGUGCAAGCGUUACUCGGAAUCACUGGGCGUAAAGCGCGCGCAGGCGGGCUGAUAAGUUGGAUGUGAAAGCCUACGGCUCAACCGUAGAACUGCAUCCAAAACUAUUAGACUAGAGUGUGGGAGAGGAAGAUGGAAUUAGUUGUGUAGGGGUAAAAUCCGUAGAGAUAACUAGGAAUACCAAAAGCGAAGGCAAUCUUCUGGAACACUACUGACGCUGAGGCGCGAAAGCGUGGGGAGCAAACAGGAUUAGAAACCCCAGUAGUCC
rnacentral:rRNA from 1 species